UUACACUGAUGCGUAUGUAUAAGUUAAGUAAGUGAUUGAUUUAAGGGUAGAAACCCAGUAAUGACAUGUUCACUAUUCUAACGAUGAAGAAUAACUGAAGUAAAGUGAUGAUGCUGUGUCGGAGGAAAGCUAGUGAUGGGCGUGUCUAACGCAAGGGAUCAUCGGAUUUGUUGUUGACAAUUUUAGUUAGGAAAGUGAGGGCAAUAGACAUUGCUUCUGAUUGGAUAAAAGAAGUAAACAAUAAGCUUUAGAAACGAUUCAAUAAAGAAAUGUUUGUUCGGUCUAAAGGACCUUAG
rnacentral:misc_RNA from 1 species